rnacentral:lncRNA from 1 species
CACUCCGGUUUUCGAACUUUGAUUUAUUAUACAUUCCAACUCGAACUUUCAAACUCAUUGCAAUCAAGUUUUAGAACUCAAUUUAGUUGGCUAAGCAAUGACACAAUGCUGAUGCGUAAUAUGCAUCUUAAUCAUUAUCACCUUAUUAAUCACAACCUUACUGUAUCACUUUCACAUUACCAACGCAUCAAUAUUUUAUAAACUAAAUUAGAUUGUGAGAUUUAACUGUAAUAAUUCAAGAGUUAGAGAUAGAAAUUGCAACAUAUUAAAA